rnacentral:lncRNA from 1 species
CUCAAAACUUCACUGACAUGGCAGACCCCUGAGUAUUUUAGGGCUUCUCUUCACCGGGAUCUGUCUCUUCUUUUUUUUCUUUAGUCAAUGGAUACUUGUUUUGAGAACUGGCUCAGAUCUGAAAACUAGAAAUUUUACUGGGAAUUUGCUCUCAGCCCCCUGUUUAUCCAUCCUUAAUUUGUUUUGCUUAUGUGCACUAAGUAACACUAGUCUUUAACUUGAAGAAAUGGGCCACUCUUACAAGCAGAGAGGAUUCAUGUUCGGAAAGCAAGGUUUGUAAGUACAUCAGCCCAGAUAUUGCCUUCUCAAGUUUAAAGAUCCUACUUCUCAAUCAAU